rnacentral:rRNA from 1 species
UACGGGGGGGGUAAGCGUUGUUCGGAAUUACUGGGCGUAAAGCGUGUGCAGGCGGUUUGUUAAGACAGGUGUGAAAUCCCCGGGCUUAACCUGGGAAUUGCGCUUGUUACUGGCAAGCUAGAGUGCGUCAGAGGGAGGUGGAAUUCCUGGUGUAGCGGUGAAAUGCGUAGAUAUCAGGAGGAACACCGGUGGCGAAGGCGGUCUCUGGGCCUUACCUGACGCUGGAGGAGCGAAAGCGUGGGGAGCAAACAGG